AGAGUUUGAUCCUGGCUCAGAACGAACGUUGGCGGCAUGGAUUAGGCAUGCAAGUCGAACGAAUGCCGGUGUAGCAAUACUCUGGCGGAAGUGGCGAAAGGGGCAGUAAUGUAUGGGUACCUACCCCGGGGUUGAGCAUAGCCGUUCUAACGGACGGGUAAUUCUCAGCGAUGUCGCAAGACCAAAGCUCCGGCGCCCUGGGAGGGGCCCAUAUCAGAUUAGCUAGUUGGUGGGGUAACGGCCUACCAAGGCGAAGAUCUGUAGCGGGUGUGAGAGCACGACCCGCGCCACUGGCACUGAGACACUGGCCAGACACCUACGGGUGGCUGCAGUCGAGGAUCUUCGUCAAUGGGCGAAAGCCUGAACGAGCGAUGCCGCGUGUGCGAUGAAGGCCUUCGGGUUGUAAAGCACGAAAGAGAUGAGAAAGGGAAACUUGAUCGAAUCUCAGUAAGCUCGGGCUAAGUUCGUGCCAGCAGCCGCGGUAAGACGAACCGAGCGAACGUUGUUCGGAAUCACUGGGCUUAAAGGGCGCGUAGGCGGGCGGUUUAGUCUGUUGUGAAAUCCUCCAGCUCAACUGGAGAACUGCAAUGGAUACUGGCUGUCCCGAGGAAGGUAGGGGCGUGUGGAACUAUCGGUGGAGCGGUGAAAUGCGUUGAUAUCGAUAGGAACUCCGGUGGCGAAGGCGACACGCUGGACCUUUUCUGACGCUGAGGCGCGAAAGCCAGGGGAGCAAACGGGAUUAGAUACCCCGGUAGUCCUGGCCCUAAACGAUGGGUACUAGCUAGUAGAGUUCACAUGGCUUUACUGGCGAAGCAAAAGUGCUAAGUACCCCGCCUGGGGAGUAUGGUCGCAAGGCUGAAACUCAAAGGAAUUGACGGGGGCUCACACAAGCGGUGGAGCAUGUGGCUUAAUUCGAGGCUACGCGAAGAACCUUAUCCUGGACUUGACAUGUGCGAUAGCGUUGAGCGGUAGGCCGGCGAAAGCAUGGCUGAUUCCCCGCAAGGGGAGGACUCAAUACAGGUGCUGCAUGGCUGUCGUCAGCUCGUGUCGUGAGAUGUCGGGUUAAGUCCCAUAACGAGCGGAACCCUUACCUUUAGUUACUACGGGUCAUGCCGAGGACUCUAAAGGGACUGCCGGUGUCAAACCGGAGGAAGGCGGGGAUGACGUCAAGUCCUCAUGGCCUUUACGUCCAGGGCUGCACACGUGCUACAAUGGCGUGAACAAAGGGAAGCCAAGGCGCGAGCCGGAGCAAAUCCCAAAAAAACACGCCCCAGUUCGGAUCGAAGGCUGCAACUCGCCUUCGUGAAGUUGGAAUCGCUAGUAAUCGCGGGUCAGCAACACCGCGGUGAAUGUGUUCCUGAGCCUUGUACACACCGCCCGUCAAGCCACGAAAGAGAGGAGUGCCCGAAGUCGCUUUAGCGCCGAAGGCAAAACUCUUGAUUGGGACUAAGUCGAAACAAGGUA
rnacentral:rRNA from 1 species